rnacentral:rRNA from 1 species
UACGUAGGGGGCUAGCGUUGUCCGGAAUCAUUGGGCGUAAAGCGCGCGUAGGCGGCCCGGUAAGUCCGCUGUGAAAGUCAAAGGCUCAACCUUUGAACGUCAGCGGAUACUGUCGGGCUAGAGGCCGGGAGAGGGCAGCGGAAUUCCCGGUGUAGCGGUGAAAUGCGUAGAGAUCGGGAGGAACACCGGCGGCGAAGGCGGCUGCCUGGACCGGCCCUGACGCUGAGGCGCGAAAGCUAGGGGAGCAAACAGG